rnacentral:lncRNA from 1 species
GAAGGAGAGGAGGCCGACGGGCUCCAGGCCGGAGCAACGCCGCUCCCAGACGGCGACCGGUCGCCCAAUUUCGAAAGGUAGCAGCAGCAGCAGCGCUGAUUCCUUGAGAAUCAGGGCUCGAUGUUGGGGAGGAAAGAGGACGGCGCCGGGGCUGAGACGCGUCGACAGAUGACGCCGGCCGAAGCAAGUGAUGGCUGAACGGCCGGAGGAGGCGCAGCCGGCCAGAUUUAGCCGGAGGAGAAGAGGCCGAUCGGCCUUGAGGAAGAGAGGGAGCGUCGGUUCUUGAG